rnacentral:rRNA from 1 species
GACGAACGCUGGCGGCGUGCUUAACACAUGCAAGUCGAACGGAAAGGCCCUGCUUUUGUGGGGUGCUCGAGUGGCGAACGGGUGAGUAACACGUGAGUAACCUGCCCUUGACUUUGGGAUAACUUCAGGAAACUGGGGCUAAUACCGGAUAGGAGCUCCUGCUGCAUGGUGGGGGUUGGAAAGUUUCGGCGGUUGGGGAUGGACUCGCGGCUUAUCAGCUUGUUGGUGGGGUAGUGGCUUACCAAGGCUUUGACGGGUAGCCGGCCUGAGAGGGUGACCGGCCACAUUGGGACUGAGAGACGGCCCAGACUCCUACGGGAGGCAGCAGUGGGGAAUAUUGCACAAUGGGCGGAAGCCUGAUGCAGCAACGCCGCGUGCGGGAGGACGGCCUUCGGGUGGUAAACCGCUUUCGCCUGUGACGAAGCGUGAGUGACGGUAAUGGGUAAAGAAGCACCGGCUAACUACGG